AAUGGUUGCAGGGUCGACAGGAACAAUUGCAACCAUAGCAGUCAUAUACUAUCUACGUUGUGCGAUGUGAAGGUGAUCAGUGAACCUGAAGAGAGUUACAGAUCAAAUUGGGCUUACUCCUGAAGAAGUUAUAUAAAAAAUUAUGGCCAAUCCCGAAGUUGCCAUGGCAUUUCAAAAUCCAAGAGUUCAAGCAGCCAUCAUGGAUUGUUUGCAGAAUCCUUUGAGUAUUGCAAAAUAUCAGAAUGACAAGGAGGUUAUGGAUGUUUUCAAUAAAAUAUCAGAACUCUUCCCUGGGGUGACAGGUUCAUCUUAAUUCUCUUAGUUGUUGCACAACUGCAGUUUAGGGGUCUGAAAUAUGUGCCCUUUCCUUUUCUCUUGAUUUUGUCACCAA